rnacentral:misc_RNA from 1 species
UCCUUCUGCUUCUUGGAGGCCUUACGACCCACCUUAGCAUUGGCAUUCUUUCCACCAACAGCAACAAGUUCCAUUUCCAGAAGUGCAUUAGCACGGUCCCUCAAAUUUGGAGCACGUGGCAGGAAGGUCUCAUGGUGUUGCAGUUCCACUGGAGCAAUCUUCUUUGAAAGGCCAAGCCUUUCAUCUAACCUUAUCUUUUCCCAAUUGCCAAAUCC